UUUGAAAAGUUUUUCUGCGAAUGCAAUUAGACUAAAUUAAAACGCGCAAAUAACACCUAAUUAACAAGAUUGAAACGGUCGGAUACUAAAGCUAACAUUACGACUAAAUUAUCACUACCAAAAAUACUAGUCAAUAUUAAAAUAAGAGAAAAUAUUAAAUAAAACAAAAUGAAAUUGAGUCANUAAAUUAAAGAGCUUAGCUAGCNGCAUUUGAAUAUUCACGCUUUAUAUGCAAAGAAAUCGAAUCGNGAACAAUCAGGAAAUGAAAGCAACGUGCAGGUUAAAUAACAUUUCAAUGCAAGAGAGUUGAAAGCUAAAAUAAAAUAGAAAUGAACGAGUAGGCCAAUUAAAUGAAACAGGAAAGUUGCUUCUUGAUGAACUGUUCAGCAUGAAUGAAAGAAAUGUCAAAAUGAAUCCGAUAUGGGAGAAAAGGAAUAAAGCAUAAAACGCAUUUAAUGCUAAGCGGAAGCACAUUCAUCGAAAUUGAAAGAGUCGGAGUAAAAAAAAAUAUAUGCUNACAAUGCAUAAGAUAGUGAUGAAUCCGAUUCUCUCCAAAAGCCAAUGAAAAUGAUAAAGAAAAAAAAUGUGUGUGCUGCACUAUCCAAAAUCCAUCACCGUGUGUUCUCCUUCCAAAUGAAAAUACAUCGUGUAAUAAUAUCUCUGUGUGUCGGCUAGACUAUUCCACCUAGCACCCCCUCAGCCUAGGGUUGCGUGUGCCCUUAAUUUCCCAUGCCUUCCAAUUUUAUUUUUUUUUGCUUGGACCGUCUCUCCAAAACUUUGUGGACAUUGCUAAGUGUGGCAGCUUUUUCAAUUUGUCAUUGGGCCGUGGGAGUCAAAGAAAGCCUGCAUUCUCCCAAUUUGCUUUCCAAAAUGGUAGCAAUUAAAAUAAAAGCUUUUAUUUAAAAUAAAAACACCGGAUGCCUUUAAAUGGAAUCAUCACAUAUGGUAAAAUCAAAUUCACUCCCGGCCGUGGCACUUCUUCUUUUAAAUAAGUUUCUUUUUUUUUUCUUUUCUUUUCUUUUUUUCUUUUCUUUUUCUUUUCUUUUUUUUUCUUCUUCUUUCUUUUUUUUUAACAAAAUAAAAACAAAAUAUUCUAAACCUAAUCUAAUUAUUUUGUCUCCUCCAAAUGUCCCAAAUUAUGUUUCCAAAAUUUUCCCUGAAAAUAAUAAUGCAAAUAAUUA
rnacentral:lncRNA from 1 species